AACGAACGCUGGCGGCAGGCUUAACACAUGCAAGUCGAGCGCCCCGCAAGGGGAGCGGCAGACGGGUGGGUAACGCGUGGGAAUCUACCCAUCUCUACGGAAUAACGCAUGGAAACGUGUGCUAAUACCGUAUACGUCCUUCGGGAGAAAGAUUUAUCGGAGAUGGAUGAGCCCGCGUUGGAUUAGCUAGUUGGUGGGGUAAAGGCCUACCAAGGCGACGAGCCAUAGCUGGUCUGAGAGGAUGAUCAGCCACACUGGGACUGAGACACGGCCCAGACUCCUACGGGAGGCAGCAGUGGGGAAUAUUGGACAAUGGGCGCAAGCCUGAUCCAGCCAUGCCGCGUGAGUGAUGAAGGCCCUAGGGUUGUAAAGCUCUUUCACCGGUGAAGAUAAUGACGGUAACCGGAGAAGAAGCCCCGGCUAACUUCGUGCCAGCCGCCGCCGUAAGAC
rnacentral:rRNA from 1 species